rfam:Puccinia sorghi strain RO10H11247 Scaffold_463, whole genome shotgun sequence.
AAAUAUGAAAAGAUGAUUUUCCGAGUUUCAUGCAUAGUUCACACUGAGUGCCAAGUCACCAUGUUGAACACUUAUUCUAUCAUAUAGUCUUUCGCUCCUAUCUGAUCCCAUAC